UCCAGACUCCUACGGGAGGCAGCAGUGGGGAAUAUUGCACAAUGGGGGGAACCCUGAUGCAGCGACGCCGCGUGAAGGAAGAAGUAUUUCGGUAUGUAAACUUCUAUCAGCAGGGAAGAAAAUGACGGUACCUGACUAAGAAGCCCCGGCUAACUACGUGCCAGCAGCCGCGGUAAUACGUAGGGGGCAAGCGUUAUCCGGAUUUACUGGGCGUAAAGGGAGCGUAGGCGGCAGUGCAAGUCAGAAGUGAAAGCCCAAGGCUCAACCAUGGGACUGCUUUUGAAACUGUACAGCUAGAGUGCAGGAGAGGUAAGUGGAAUUCCUAGUGUAGCGGUGAAAUGCGUAGAUAUUAGGAGGAACACCAGUGGCGAAGGCGGCUUACUGGACUGUAAAUGACGCUGAGGCUCGAAAGCGUGGCGAGCAAACAGGAUUAGAUACCCCUGUAAG
rnacentral:rRNA from 1 species